rnacentral:rRNA from 1 species
GACGAACGCUGGCGGCGUGCUUAACACAUGCAAGUCGAACGGAAAGGCCCUGCUUUUGUGGGGUGCUCGAGUGGCGAACAGGUGAGUAACACGUGAGUAACCUGCCCUUGACUUUGGGAUAACAUCAGGAAACUGGGGCUAAUAUCGGAUAGGAGCUACUGCUGCAUGGUGGGGGUUGGUAAGUUUCGGCGGUUGGGGAUGGACUCGCGGCUUAUCAGCUUGUUGGUGGGGUAGUGGCUUACCAAGGCUUUGACGGGUAGCCGGCCUGAGAGGGUGACCGGCCACAUUGGGACUGAGAUACGGCCCAGACGCCUACGGGAGGCAGCAGUGGGGAAUAUUGCACAGUGAGCGGAAGCCUGAUGCAGCGACGCCGCGUGCGGGAUGACGGCCUUCGGGUUGUAAACCGCUUUCGCCUGUGACGAAGCGGGAGUGACGGUAAUGGGUAAAGAAGCACCGGCUAACUACGUG